CCCUGUUUGGAGCAGUGGUUAGUGUGCUCGGCUGCAGAGCCGGGGGACGCUGGUUCGAUUCCCUCACCAGAUG